AUGGGCCGCCAAGCUAGUGCUGCACGAAAUGACCUCGAGCAUAUGCUAUCUCAUGAAAACGAGCUGCCAAAGGCCUUGCCAUUAUCACUUUUGGAAGACAUUACGGAUGGUUUCUCUAAGAACCAUCAAAUUGGCAGCGGUGGGUUUGCAGUGGUCUACAAGGGAACGCUUGAGAAUGGGACUGUUGCUGUGAAGAAGUUGCUUGAAAGUCUUGAUAUUCCUGAUAAUAAAUUCAAUGAAGAAAUUCGUUGUUUGAUGAGGGUAAAGCACAACAACAUAGUCCGGUUCUUGGGAUAUUGUGCUAACAUACAAGGCCAAAUGGAAAACUACAAUGGAGAUUUUGUCAUGGCAGAUGUACGUCAAAGGUUGCUUUGCUUUGAGUAUGUACCUAAAGGAAGUCUUCAUGAGUAUAUCAAAGAUACAUCUUCUAGACUUGACUGGAUAAAGAGCUAUCGGAUAAUAAAGGGUAUUUGUGAAGGUUUACAUUACCUUCACCAGAAUUGCAUUGUUCACUUAGAUCUCAAGCCGGCAAAUAUUCUGUUGGAUGACAACAUGACACCAAAAAUUGCUGAUUUUGGUCUGUCAAGGUGCUUCGAUGAAAAGCAAAGCCAAGCUAUUACCGAAAAUAUGGCUGGAACAUUGGGGUAUAUGGCACCAGAGUUUCAUAGAGGAGACAAAUGCACGAUCACAUACAACUCGGACAUAUAUAGUCUUGGUGUCAUAAUUAUAGAGAUGCUGACAGGAAAGAAGUGGUAUCCAGGAUAUCCUGAUGUUGAUAAUGUACUUGAAACUUGGAGUAAUAAGUUAAGGAAAUCACAGCGGGACACACUUUUGAAACAGAUACGGUUAUGCAUUGACCUAGGGAUAAAAUGCACUGAUGGUAACCAAGCGAACAGACCAAAUACAUCACAUAUAAUCAGUAGGCUUGGUGAAUCAGAAAAUACAUGCAUUAUAACUGUUUUGACUUCUUCAACAGUACCACAGGUAGAAAGAACUUUGGAAAAUUUGGAGCAUACCACCAAUAACUUGCUUCUGAGGAGGAACAAUGUUCGUUAUAUGAAUGAUAUUGCCGAGAAGAAUGUUACUAUUGAGCAAGAGGCAGCUAAGGAACUUCAAGAGGCCCAAGAAUGUCUCGAUGAUAAUCCUCAUGUUGUUGAAGUCGAAUCUAUUCCAUCUAUGUCUGUUGACGACCGUAACCUUCAAGAGGCCCUCCGGCUCAUUAAGGAUGAUCCAGUGGGAGUAAUUGGAAUAUGGGGUCCAGGUGGAGUGGGGAAAACACGCCUUUUGAACAAAAUCAAGAACUCAAUUGAUGAUGACAAGACCUUUAACUAUGUUGUGCAAGUGACAGCUUCAAGGGGGUGUUCAGUGGAAAAGAUCCAAACUGACAUUGCACGCCAUCUCAAUCUGAACAGAGAUGGUAAUGUGGAAUCUCAAUCUCGUGUCAUUUUUGACUUUCUGAAGAAGAGAAGCUUUCUUGUAUUGUUGGAUGAUAUUUGGGGUCAAAUUGAUCUACAAGCAGUCGGCAUACCAUAUCCUCUUGGAUAUGCAAACCAAAUUUGGAGAAAGGUGGUGCUCACAACAAGAUCAAGAAGGGUUUGUGGUCAAAUGGAGGUGAGGAAAGAUUUGAAUGUAUCUUGUCUACACGAGGAUGACUCAUGGCAGGUAUUCCAGGAUAAGGUCGGCCACAAAACUCUUUUUUAUAGUCCUCGCAUUGAAGCUCUUGCAAGAGAACUAGUGAAAGAAAUGAAAGGCUUGCCAUUAGCUUUGAUAACUCUUGGAAAGGCAAUGUAUGGUAAAACUGAUACGGCUGAGUGGGAAUAUGCUAUCCAACAUAUGAGACGGUCAUGUUGUGAUAACGAUGACCCCCUGGAUAUGGAAAGAAUUGUUUUUAGCCAGAUCAAGUUUAGUUUUGAUAGUUUGCGAAACAAUACUUUGAGGAAAUGUUUCUUGACUUGUGCAUUGUGGCCAGAGGAUCAACAUAUCUACAAAGUAGAGCUCGCUCGAUGCUGGAUUGGCUUGGGUCUAGUGCAUGAGUCAGAUAUACAUAGUUCCUACACAAAAGCAUAUAGUCUGAUGGGUGACCUUUCAGCUGCAUGUUUGUUAGAUGGUUGUGGAGAAAUGUAUGAUUCUUUUAAAAUGCAUGAUGUGGUUCGUGACAUGGCUUUAUGGAUCUCUUGUGGAUGCAAUGAGAAAAAUGGCAAGUGGUUUGUCCGUGCGGGUAUUGGCCGGCACGAAAAUUUUAGCAUCCCUUGGAGCCAGGUUGAAUUUGUCUCAUUGAUGUGCAACUAUGUAUUAAAACUUCCUCCUGUUGGCUCUAAUCCAUGCCACAUGAGGAUGUUAUGCCUUGGAAAUAACUGGUUGCAUGAAAGCAUAUUAAUUGAAGAAAUCAAGAAAUUUACUUCACUGACAUAUCUGGAUUUGCGUUUCAACAAUCUCGGAGAAAUACCUGAAGAAUUAUGUUCCCUGACAAACUUGGAACACCUUGACUUGUCGCAUAAUAUUGAAAUAAAUGAAGUGCCUUACUCCUUUGGAAACCUAAUUAAGCUCAAGUUCUUGUACCUAGGAUGGACUAGCAUACAAAGGAUACCGGAGGGGGUCAUAUCUAAGCUUCAAUCAUUACAAGUAAUAGACUUCAACACUUUUUAUCUACGUCCAAUUCCGAAGGACCUUCUUUCUAGAAUGCUUCGAGAGUUGGGCACCCUACCCCACUUGAAAGCAGUUGGUAUCACUGCCAUGUGUUUUUCUCAGUAUAAAUUAUUACGAGAGAGUGAGGACCUCCCCAUCAGGUCUUUAACUCUGCGGAGACUCGAGACACGUGCAUUCUACUUCUCUGAUAUUCUAUCACAUGAGUUUGCACCAAGGACCUUGUAUGAACUGCUAAUUCACAUGUGCAUCAUGGAGGAAAUAAUAUUUGGACACGGGUUGGCAGAACCAAACUGCGGUUUUCGUACUCUCAAUCAGCUCAGCUUUUCAGAUUUGUCGAACUUGAGAGAGAUAACUUGGACGAAAACAUCCCCAGCAUCUCUAUUUCCAAGGCUCGCUUGUCUGGAUGUGCAUUCCUGCGGGAAACUAAACCACCUCUCCUGGGCGAUGGAUCUACCUUGCCUCGAACAACUCGUAAUAUAUGAUUGUUCUUCGAUGCGGCAAGCGUUUAUGAGGCACCAUGGUGAUAACCAGUGCAGUGGACAAGACAGUUCAAAGACAUUUCCUUGCCUCAGAUAUCUAAAAUUUCUGAGGUGUGAAUCACUGGUCGGUAUUGGGGAUCCUGAUAUGACAUUUCCAUCCCUAGAGCGACUGGUGCUUCAUCAUUGUCCGGAAUUGAAUAGGCUUCCUUUCAAGACGGACAACUUACCACGAAAACUGCAGGAACUACAGAUUGAUGUUGGAUCCUGGGAGAGAUUGGAAUUGGAAGAAGGUGUCAGAUCUUUCCUGCAGCCCAGGCUUAAAUUAGAAAAAGAGUAA
rnacentral:rRNA from 1 species